UACGUAGGGUGCGAGCGUUAAUCGGAAUUACUGGGCGUAAAGCGUGCGCAGGCGGUUGGUUAAGUCUGAUGUGAAAGCCCCGAGCUCAACUUGGGAAUGGCAUUGGAAACUGGCUGGCUAGAGUGUGGCAGAGGGGGGGUGGAAUUCCGCGUGUAGCAGUGAAAUGCGUAGAGAUGCGGAGGAACACCGAUGGCGAAGGCAGCCCCCCUGGGCUGACACUGACGCUCAGGCACGAAAGCGUGGGGAGCAAACAGGAUUAGA
rnacentral:rRNA from 1 species